UAGUUUAUACCUAGAAUACAAAAGAUUAUAUAAUACUAACGAAGAUCCUAAAACAUUAGAUAAUUUAAUUACGAUAAUAUCCAAUUUAGAAUAUGAAUUAAUAAAACAUCUUAAGUCAAGAAGAUAAAAAUGAAAACUAAACUAACCAAUAAUAUAUACGAAAUAAUCUACUUAAAAAUAAAUACUUAUUAUUUAAUAACUAUUUAUUUCCUAGUAAAGUUACCGCGCUUAAUCCGCACCCCCCUACAAAGGAUGAACUGACAUCUCUAGCCAUUGGAAAUUGUUGUCUCUAAGUUUUGUAUUUGCUUUUAAGUAAUCUCUGCAGGAGAAGUCUCAAUCUAGAAGAAUAUGAAGCAGAAAUGCAGGAAGUCAACGCAAUCAUUAUUAGCAAGCCUAUGAGGAUGGCAAACUGACAACAAUAACAUAACUUCCCAAGAUUUGGAUCAACAAGAUGACUAUGUUAUGAAUGAAAAUAUGGAAACUCCUACUCUCAGUAUUGGCAAUCUAAUUUCUUCUUUAAGCUUUAAUGAAGCUACCUCACAAGUGAAAGAGGAGCCGCUACUUGUCCAAAUUAAAGAUACUUCGACCGGAGAAGUUACAACUCAAAAGUUGCAAGUAGAUCGAGUUUGAAACUUAGAAAAAAAUAAGAAAGUCAUGGUGGAACUCAAUGGAGAUGGAUAAGGAAGUGAUAAUGGUUCAAACUUGCUUAUGAGAUUUCUUGGUCGACUUUCUCAAAAUUCUGUAUUUUGUCCCAUAUCAGUUGUGACAUGGGAUAGGAUGCCAAAAGAGAAAAAACAAAUAAUAUGGGAGCUUAUUGAGGUGGAGGUCCUUUAAAUAUAGUUGCGAAAUGAAAACUUCUAUCCCAAUAAAAGUAAAGAAGAUCUACUUGAGAAAACUCCCAAAAAUGUUGAUUUUGUUGUUGAGUGGACUGCUUUUGUGCAUCACUAUCAUGAGGAGAAGAUGAAGAAACAAUGUGAACAAAAUGCAAAAAACAGAAAGAAACUUAAAGUUUUGCAUGUUGGUGGUAACAAAAGCAAUGCGGGGAGAGGUCGUUAGAUGAAUAAAAUAUCGGAGCAUCUACCUGAAGAUUAGGAACUUGCUAUUAGUUAUGGUGUUCCUUUGAAGAUACUAGCUCAUCCUAACGACACCAUUUGAAAAGUGUUUGGAUCUGAACAUUAUGGAUGCGUGCGUGGUUUAGGUGGUAAUGUUUGUCCUUCAAAAGCUUUUGGAAUGUCGAGAAAUAGUCAUGUGAAUAUUGGUAGCUCAAGCAGUAUAUCUCAUCAACGUUUUGAAGACCUUGAGAAACAGGUAGAAACCUUGAAAGAAAAGCUGACCGGAUAUGAAGAGACCAAAGAAAAGCUUGAGCAAAAUGAGCAUCACUUGACAACUCUUCAUAGGUUUUUACAAUCCAAAUUUGGUAGCGAGUUGCCCACUUUCAACUAAUCUUCUUAACCUUUAGUAUAUUUUGAAACAAACGACAGAUAUAGUAUUUUUUUAACUUUUAACAUUAGUAUUUGUGGUAUCUUUUAUGAAUAUUUAAGGUUUUGACCUUAUCUUUUGUGACAAUAUAUUGAGCAAUGUCAGAACUUUGAUAAUUAUGUUACAAUUAAUAUCGAUCUUGUG